AUCGCUUCUCGGCUCACCGAGCUUAGAUUAAGUGUAGUAUCUGUUCUUCUCAAGGUUAGUACCCUGUGACGGAAACGAUUGCUUUCCUCUAUGUAUAAAUCGGAUUUUUG
rnacentral:snRNA from 1 species